UAAUCCGACCUAGGCUCAUCUCGGAGUGUGAGGCCUUACGGUCCCCCACUUUGGUCUUUCGACAUCAUGCGGUAUUAAUCCGGGUUUCCCCUGGCUAUCCCCCGCUCUGAGGCAGAUUCCUAUGUAUUGCUCACCCGUCCGCCGCUCGCCGGCACCCUUGCGGGCCCGCUGCCGCUCGACUUGCAUGUGUUAAGCACGCCGCCAGCGUUCAAUCUGAGCCAGGAUCAAACUCU
rnacentral:rRNA from 1 species